AGAUAUACAUGGAAGCAGAAUGUUGUAUGCAUAAAUAAAUAAAUAAAUAAAAUCUUUUUUAAAAAAUGGCUGCAACAUUCUUGCCUCCUCACAGCAGUCAAGUUCUCAUCAAUCUGCCUUCGUAGUCAAUGCUUAUUUCCAGGAACCUAUUUCUCGCCAUUGAGAAACCUACUAGAUGCUUCCCUCAUUGUUGUGAGCAGAGACCUGAGCAAAGGGGUUUAUAUCGGCACACGCUCUAAGAAAGGAUACGGACCAUCAUGGAGGCAUAAGCAUGAGCAGUAGGUAGGCCGUGGGGCAUCCCUAGUGACCCAUGUCCUCCAGCAAGGGUCUGCCACCUGCUAAAGGUUUCAUAACCAUACAGAACACCACCACCAGCUUUGGACCCAAGGGUUCAAACACAUGACAAGGGACAGUUCACAUUCAAGAUACUGUAGAAGGAAACUUUCUCCAUCUAUCUUGGUCCCACUGGACCAGUUUCUCUCCACCCACGGUGGGGGGGGGGCAGGGAUCCCCGCAGCCUCUUAUAAGAUAACCACUCAGACUCAAUAUAUAUCUAUAAUUGUUUGACCAAUGGCUUAGGCUUCUUACUGGCUAGCUCUCUAUUAAUUUGUAGAUCACCACGUGGCCUUGUCUCACGGGCAGUGCCCUGGCGUUUUAGCUCCCCUAAGGCUACAUAGCAUCUCCUCGACCCUGACUCCUACCUUUCUGUCUCCCUGUUCAGAUUUCCUCCCUGGCUUUACUCUGUUCAGCCAUUUGCCAAAACGCCUUUAUUCAUCAACUGAUAAGAGAAACACAUAGGUGCAGCAUACGAAAGGACAUCCCCCAUCAAGACACAAUUUACUAAAAUAGAGACAGCUCGUCUCUCUCAGCACCCCAUUCAGACAGCCUCCUAGAAACAGAAGGAGGGUGAGGAAAGUCUGAAGGAGGCUUCUCGGGACACAGGGGACAGAAGGAGAGGCAGAGGAGGAGCCGAAUCUCGUGGCUACGAGAGGCACCCAGCCAACGACCACAUCCUGAGAAAUCAUACUUGGCCAAUGCCAAGUGUGACAGCAGAGUCAUUCUCCACCCACACGAAGAAAGAAGAAAGCGUGUGUGGCUCACCCAGCCUGCACUUCCCAAACCUGCCCCCCUUGUUUUCAUUAUAUGGUGCUAGCCAGCCUUUUCCUCGCA